rnacentral:rRNA from 1 species
AGAGUUUGAUCCUGGCUCAGAACGAACGCUGGCGGCGUGGAUAAGACAUGCAAGUCGAGCGCUGAUUACAGGGUAGCAAUAUUCUGUAGUUGGAGCGGCGCAAGGGUGCGUAACACGUGGGUAAUCUGCCAUGAAGUUUGGGAUAACUCGCUGAAAGGCGAGCUAAUACCGGAUGUGACGAUUGGAAGGCAUCUUCUGAU